CGCUUAUCCAGAGUGGCUGAGGGAACAGGCCCGACGAAGCCACAGCAACCAGGCGCGAGAGCCCAGGUGCUACUUCCUGCCCGAUAACCGGGAGAGAUAAGAG
rnacentral:ncRNA from 2 species